rnacentral:rRNA from 1 species
UACAGAGGGUGCGAGCGUUAAUCGGAAUUACUGGGCGUAAAGCGUGCGUAGACGGUUAUUUAAGUCGGGUGUGAAAGCCCCGGGCUCAACCUGGGAAUUGCAUUCGAGACUGAAUAGCUAGGGUACGGUAGAGGGAAGUGGAAUUUCCGGUGUAGCGGUGAAAUGCGUAGAUAUCGGAAGGAACACCAGUGGCGAAGGCGAGUCUCUGGACAGUUACUGACGCUGAGGCACGAAGGCCAGGGGAGCAAACGGG